GCCAAAGUCUUUGACUAUGUGGAUCACAACAAACUGUGGAAAAUUCUUCAAGAAAUUGGAAUACCAGACCACCUUACCUACCUCCUGAGAUAUCUGUGUGCCGGUCAAGAAGCAACAGUUGGGAGUGGACAUGGAAUAAUGAACUGGCUCCAAAUCAGAGUACAUCAAGUCUGU